rnacentral:rRNA from 1 species
UACAGAGGAGCCAAGCGUUGUCCGGAUUGACUGGGCGUAAAGCGCACGCAGGCGGUUGCGCGCGUGGGGUGUGAAAUCUGGCCGCUUAACGGCCAGGCGCCAUCCCAUACGGCGCGACUGGAGUGAUGCAGAGGUCGAUGGAAUUGCCGGUGUAGUGGUGAAAUGCGUAGAGAUCGGGGGGAACACCCGUGGCGAAGGCGGCCAGCUGGGCCGUCCCUGACACUGAGGCGCGAAGGCGUGGGGAGCGAACGGG